GUGGGGCACAGUGCCGCAUGCCUAUAGUACCAGCUACUCGGGAGGCUGAGGUGGGAGGAUUACUUCAGCCCAGGAGUUCUGGGCUGUAGCGCGCUAUGCCGAUCAGGUGUCCACACUAAGUUCAGCAUCAAUAUGGUGACCUCACCAGAGCGGAGGGCGGGGGGGACCACCAGGUUGCCUAAGGAGGGGUGAACCCGCCCAGGUCGGAAAUGAAGCAAGUCAAAACUCCUGUGCUGAUCUGUAGUGGAAUUGCAUCUGUGAAUAGCCACUGCAUUCCAGCCUGAGCAACAUAGUGAGACCCCGUCUCUA
ensembl:misc_RNA Metazoa_SRP Metazoan signal recognition particle RNA